AAUCAACGCUGGCGGCGUGCCUCAGACAUGCAAGUCGAACGCGAAAGUUCCCUUCGGGGAGCAAGUAGAGUGGCGCACGGGUGAGUAACACGUAGGUAAUCUACCUUUGGAUGGGGAAUAACAACCGGAAACGGUUGCUAAUACCGCAUAAUGCAGCGGCACCUAAUGGUGACAGUUGUUAAAGCGGGGGAUCGAAAGACCUCGCGUCUGAAGAGGAGCCUGCGGCGGAUUAGCAGUUGGUAAGGUAACGGCUUACCAAGGCGAUGAUCCGUAGCCGGCCUGAGAGGGCGGUCGGCCACACUGACACUGACAUACGGGUCAGACUCCUACGGGAGGCAGCAGUCGGGAAUUUUGGGCAAUGGGCGAAAGCCUGACCCAGCAACGCCGCGUGAAGGAU
rnacentral:rRNA from 1 species